GGGGAUCCCAAGUGCGUAGGCAUAGAGCCUACGCUUUUGUCCACCCUAGGGUGGUGGACGAAUAAGGGCUGGGCAAGACCGGUGCCAGCCGCCGCGGUAAUACCGGCAGCCCGAGUGAUGGCCGAUCUUAUUGGGCCUAAAGCGUCCGUAGCUGGCCGCACAAGUCCAUCGGGAAAUCCACCUGCUCAACAGGUGGGCGUCCGGUGGAAACUGUGUGGCUUGGGACCGGAAGGCGCGACGGGUACGUCCGGGGUAGGAGUGAAAUCCCGUAAUCCUGGACGGACCGCCGAUGGCGAAAGCACGUCGCGAAAACGGAUCCGACAGUGAGGGACGAAAGCUAGGGUCUCGAACCGGAUUAGAUACCCGGGUAGUCCUAGCCGUAAACACUGCCUGAUAGGUGUGGCACCCACUACGAGUGGGUGCUGUGCCGUAGGGAAGCCGCUAAGCAG
rnacentral:rRNA from 1 species